rnacentral:rRNA from 1 species
UACCAGCACCCCGAGUGGUCGGGACGAUUAUUGGGCCUAAAGCAUCCGUAGCCGGUCCUACAAGUCUUCCGUUAAAUCCACCUGCUUAACAGAUGGGCUGCGGAAGAUACUAUAGGGCUAGGAGGCGGGAGAGGCAAGCGAUACUCAGUGGGUAGGGGUAAAAUCCUCUGAUCCAUUGAAGACCACCAGUGGCGAAGGCGGCUUGCCAGAACGCGCUCGACGGUGAGGGAUGAAAGCUGGGGGAGCAAACCGG